AUUGAACGCUGGCGGCAUGCCUUACACAUGCAAGUCGAACGGCAGCGCGGACUUCGGUCUGGCGGCGAGUGGCGAACGGGUGAGUAAUACAUCGGAACGUACCCUGUUGUGGGGGAUAACUAGUCGAAAGUUUAGCUAAUACCGCAUACGACCUGAGGGUGAAAGUGGGGGACCGCAAGGCCUCACGCCGCAGGAGCGGCCCAUGUCGGAUUAGCUAGUUGGUGGGGUAAAGGCCCACCAAGGCGACGAUCAGUAGCUGGUCUGAGAGGACGAUCAGCCACACUGGGACUGAGACACGGCCCAGACUCCUACGGGAGGCAGCAGUGGGGAAUUUUGGACAAUGGGGGCAACCCUGAUCCAGCAAUGCCGCGUGUGUGAAGAAGGCCUUCGGGUUGUAAAGCACUUUUGUCCGGAAAGAAAUCGCGCUGGUUAAUACCUGGCGUGGAUGACGGUACCGGAAGAAUAAGCACCGGCUAACUACGUGCCAGCCGCCGCGGUAA
rnacentral:rRNA from 1 species